rnacentral:rRNA from 1 species
UACGGAGGGUGCAAGCGUUAUCCGGAUUCACUGGGUUUAAAGGGUGCGUAGGUGGGCAAGUAAGUCAGUGGUGAAAUCUCCGGGCUUAACCCGGAAACUGCCAUUGAUACUAUUUGUCUUGAAUACUGUGGAGGUCAGCGGAAUAUGUCAUGUAGCGGUGAAAUGCUUAGAUAUGACAUAGAACACCAAUUGCGAAGGCAGCUGGCUGGGCAAAUAUUGACACUGAGGCACGAAAGCGUGGGGAGCAAACAGG